rnacentral:lncRNA from 1 species
UCCUCUAAUUUCUUUUAAAUGUGUCCACUAGUUAACUUUUACUGACUGUUUUCCUGUUCUCAUUUCAGGGAGCCGGGGUGAGGCACCGGGGGAAUGGACCAGCUCACACCGUGGCACUGGCGGUCCCUCCUGCUCCAGCUGGAUCUUCACCCCCUGGUUUUCUUAUCACUGGUGGCCACUUGAUGGAGAUGCCCAAGUCAGAGACCAUCUUAACCCAGGUUCCUGCCGUUGGGACAGAGGAUCCAGCUCCUCCAAAAAUGGUGCCAGGAAUGCAGAAGAGCAUCUGUUGGUGGUGGUGUCUUUUCACUGGAGAAGGGGAGAUGAGAGCUGGUGCUGUCAGGACAGUUCAGAGCCCCAACUCAUGCGGUUGCAUUUAAAAAAAGAAAACAAGCGGAACAACAGUCCAAAUGCUUAAACCUGGGAUGAGCAGAAAGGUUGCAGUGAGUGCAGGAAGCCCGUGCCCUUGGACUACCUGGAGAGUCCCAGCCCAGAGGGAAAACAUCCAGCAGAGGAAGCUUCAGGCUUUGUGAGAUGAGGAGAUGGUGCCCACAACCAGGACUGCGACCCAGAUGUAAGUUCGUUCUUUAACUCCCGUGUCAUUAUUUCUCUAGCUGGGGGUUGACAUUUAUCUGUC